GAUGAACGCUAGCUACAGGCUUAACACAUGCAAGUCGAGGGACCGGCGCACGGGUGAGUAACGCGUAUCCAACCUACCCAUUACUGUGGGAUAACCUGCCGAAAGGCAGACUAAUACCGCAUAUAAUGGGUGGGGAUGCGUUUGAUUAGCGUGUUGGCGGGGUAACGGCUCACCAAGCCUUCGAUGGAUAGGGGUUCUGAGAGGAAGGUCCACCACAAUGGAAAUAAGACACAGACCAAACUGGGACGCGAGGCAGCAGAGAGGAAGAUUGGGCAAUGGGCGUUGGUCUGAACCAGCCGAGUAGCGUGAAGAAUGAAGGCUUAGGGGUCGUAAUCUUCUUUUAAAUAAGAAUAUGUAUUAUAUGAAUAAGGAUCGGCUAACUCCGUGCCAGCAGCCGCGGUAAUAC
rnacentral:rRNA from 1 species